CUCGGAAGUCGGCGGACGGGAUUGUCGCCAACCUGGUCAGAUCCGGAAGGAAGCAGCCACAACGAUUUCGUCCCGGGUCGUCGGCUUCCACCUUU
rnacentral:SRP_RNA from 1 species